UGAACAAGAAUUACAACAUAUUGGAUGAUAGAUGAUAAGGUGGGAAUUGCCAGAGCCAAUGUCCAGGUGCCAAACCCAAAGAUUAAAAACAGAAAAACAAGAAUUAUGUGAAAUCAAGAACAAAAGAUACAUUUUGUAGAUGACAUUACAUCAUGUAUUGGAGGAAGUAUGACAAAUUCAGCUCUUCAUCCAGCAUCUAGUAGCUGUUGAACAUAUUUUUCUCAGGAGAGUUGUGGACACCAAACUAGAGCUAAAAGGAGAUUGAAUAAUGGAUUCAUAUUCAUCCUGCAGAUGGAUACAUGACUCUGAAUGAAUGCUAAUGUUGUUUUUGUUGACAGGAUGUGUGAAUGGUCACCUGUUUACUAACAUAUUAGCCAUAACAAUUUUAUUCGACUGGAUGUUGGUGUUGUGGUUGUGUUUGUCA